rnacentral:lncRNA from 1 species
CCAGAAAUUACCAACUGAUGCAUUAAAAUUUACUCAGUAUUAUAGCAAACACGACGAAAAGUUUCAGAUAUACUGUCAAAAGCAUUAAUGUAUGAAUGUCCCUGCUGCAGCAAGUGUAUCGUAGAAAGCCACAAAAUAUGCCAGGAUAUCGUCAACUUAGAUGACGUCAUUCAAAAUGCAAAAACAUCCAAUGCCCUGUUCGAGAUAGAGGAAACAUUACUUGAAGUAGCAGAAAAUCUACAGAAAUUUCGCCAG